GACGAACGCUGGCGGCGUGCUUAACACAUGCAAGUCGAACGGAAAGGCCCUGCUUUUGUGGGGUGCUCGAGUGGCGAACGGGUGAGUAACACGUGAGUAACCUGCCCUUGACUUUGGGAUAACUUCAGGAAACUGGGGCUAAUACCGGAUAGGAGCUCCUGCUGCAUGGUGGGGGUUGGAAAGUUUCGGCGGUUGGGGAUGGACUCGCGGCUUAUCAGCUGGUUGGUGGGGUAGUGGCUUACCAAGGCUUUGACGGGUAGCCGGCCUGAGAGGGUGACCGGCCACAUUGCGACUGAGAUACGGAGCAGACUCCUACGGGACGCAGCAGUGGGGAAUAUUGCACAAUGGGCGGAAGCCUGAUGCAGCAACGCCGCGUGCGUGAUGACGGGCUUCGGGUUGUAAACCGCUGUCGCCUGUGACGAAGCGUGAGUGACGGUAAUGGGUAAAGAAGCACCGGCUAACUACGUG
rnacentral:rRNA from 1 species